UCAUAUCUGAAGAUGGAGGACACAGAAUUUCAUUUAAGGAUGGAAAAUCAACCUUAACUGUGUCCAGGUUUAUUAGCGCUGACGAUGGAGUUUAUGAAUGUCGGCUGAUGCGCACAAAUGACAAAGCAUUUUUUCGUCAGAAAUCUGAAACAUCAUUCAGUCUGAAAACAAAACCCACAAUCACAGUCUCACCAAUCAGACAGUAUGUGCAAUGUUCUGGAGGAAGUGUGGCUCUGGAGUGCAGUGUGAAUGAUGGGUAUGAGGUUCAGUUUCGGGACAUUUCUGCAGCAGGCACUGGUACUUCGAUUACCUAUAAUUAUCCUACACCUCAAGGUUGUCAACAAGGGGAAAAGACAGUCAUCUGUCAGUUAAAAAACCAACCUUCAUAUGCAAAU